GCUCCAUCCCGCGCGACCCCUCCCGCCUCAGAGUCGACUCCCGGGUCCAGCCCCCGCCUCGCCCGGUGCGACCCGGAGCAUCGCGGCCCGACCCGGCGUAUAGUCGGGGUGGCGCACCCUCUGCAUUCGGGCGGAAACGCCUCCUGCCCAAGGGACCCCAACAUGGCAACCUCGGACCCACAAACUCUCGUACACAACACCGACACUCCGGUAAAAGCAGAAACACUCUCCCAGCCGAGAGACUCGCCUCCAGGGGGAGCGGUGCGCGCCGCAGACCAACCCGGGCGCUUGCUGCUCCCUGUCCCGCCCCUUCACCCCGCCCAGGCCACGCCUCCUACCAGGUCCUUCGCUGCGAAUCCCGCUGUAACUGCGACCGGGUCCAGCCCCUGGCGCCCCCAAACGCCCCGCCCCUCCCACCUCUGCGGCCAGUCCAGCUCUGACUGUCCCCCCACCCUCCCCAAGCCGCUCCAGGGGUCCCCACCCUUUGUGACCACGCCCCCACGUUUCCAGCCGCGCGCCUUGUACCCCGCCCCCUCCUUCUCCAGCUCUCUGGGGAACGCGGCUCUAGCGCCGCCUACCGGCCGGAUUCGCCCACCCCCGUGGAGCCUUGGACGACUAAAGCUGCACCCGCCACCAAAAAAAAAACAAAAAAAAAACCCGGAGAGUUGGGAAGACUUCACUUCCUUUACUUCCUUCUAGUCGUUAACUAGUCCCUUCAGGAGCCGUUUCAAACCUAUUCCCUUCACAAAGUGCACUGCCCUUCCUUCGACUUCACACACAAAAGGCGCUUUGAUGGGAACGCCCUCGAUUUACCACUGCCGAACCUACACUCCUACCUGACUCCCAUCCGCCCUCCUGUCAGGCAAGGUGUGGGUGGCUUCUACUGCUUCACACCACCCUUGGAGGUAGAUCUUACUGCCCCUUCUCUGUGGGUCAUGAAGAAGAACUUUGACCAGUGUCAAAGUCAGGAAAUGGCAGCUCCUGGUAUGACUCAAAUUCAGAUUUCAGGAGCUUCAAACACCAUGCUUCUCCAGACAGCCUGUGCUGGUUGCAUAUCCCUGAUGAGCCCCCAGCAGUAUCCUCCUCCUCCCUGGGCCUGGGAUCAGCCUCCCCAGGAACAGCGGACACUCAUGUUACCCUUAGCCCAAGAGGACUGUGGCUGAGCCCCAAUAGCUAGGAGGCCCUGGAAGCAGGAGGCCCCGGUCCAGAUGAACAGGCAGGGCUGGGCGUAGGGCAGGAAGGCAGACACUCAGGGAUUGCCUGACUACCGCAUGAGACAUGGAGGACUCAGCGAGAACCCCAGGGCCCUGCUUGCUGCUCCCCUUGGGUUGUGGGAAAUAACUGUAGGGAGAAAGCUCUUCCUCUUUGAGUUGAGACCAGCCUCCAAUAAGUCCCUCAACUCAACCUUACUUCCUCUCUGUCUCAAAGGGGCCAGCGUAUCGCUCACUCUUCAACAGGAAAUUGAUAGCAAGGAAGAAAGCUCUGUCUGGCCUAUUGUCUCUCUGCCCUUUCCUUGCUGUGUGACCUUGGGUAAAUACCUGCAAUUCCCUGGGCCUCAGCUGCCUCAUCUGAAAAGUAUGGAGUGGAUUUAAGUUUCCCCAAGGGUGCUUCUCUCUGACUCUAUUUGAAAUCAGACUCUUGUCUCUUCUAGGUUGUUCUGGUAUGGUGGGGGGGACCCUCAUCCUGGAAGUCACUGCCCCCCUCCAAUAAUAGUGAUGGCCCUUGCCAUCUGAAAUUGGUAAUUUUCCAAGCUCUGUCACACCUGGUCAUUUUCUGUCUUCACGUCACUUCUGGGAUAGAGGAUAGAGGUUUUUAUUCCCAAAUCACAGAUGGGGAAGCUGGUGGAGAGGAGCAGAGACUCAGGUCACAGGCUCCCAGCGCCCUGCAGCUUGGCCUUGAGGUGGGCUCCUCGGGGCCUUUGGACCAGGAAUCCCCUUGGUGGGGAGGGAGGGUGUUUAAGGAGCUACGCUGGGCCUCCACCCAAUGGGAAGCUCACCCAAUCAGAGAUCGGCCUGGCUGCUUACAGUACGUCAUGAGUGCUCCCCGCACCAGCCCCUUCUGAUUCAGGAUGAGACAAAGUCAUCUUCCAGGCACAGAGAGGGCCUGGGUGUUUUUAACCCUCAGAAUAUUCAUCUAGAAGGGGUCUGGAAGCACUGGGUGCCAGGGCGGACAGCAACACUAAGCCGGGCCCAAUGCAGGCACCCUCACAGAUGUGACAGGUGGCCCUCAGCAUGUUGCUCUUUCCCUUUGGGCCUCAGGCUCCUCACCUGUGAAAGGGGAAUGAAAACAAUAACCCAUCUACCCAGUGAGUUGUGGUGACCCAGCAAUAUCAGGGCUGUAGAAUCCCUUGGGGAAAUGAAGAUAGGAAGAUUGUGAUGGUCACAGUCAAUGCCAAUGAUGGGCCUCAGGCACUUACGAGGGAGAAAGAUGAGGAGUGAGGGGACUCCAAGAAGCAAUGAGCUCUGGACAGGAGCUGUCUUAGGGGGAGUCUGGCUCCUAACUCCGUUCCAAAGUCAAAUAGAAUUGACCCGAGAUGGUCCCCUUUCCUGUAUAAUUAGGCCUCAAGUGCACAGAAUUGGAUUAUUUGUAACCUUUUAUUCAUGACACAUUCUUACCAGUUAUUUAAUUGAUUCCCAUCAAAAAACAAAACAACUAGGGCCUUUACAAUGUUCUAUAUCUCAUUAUAUAGUUCUCCCACCACUCAUUCUCCUGCUGCUUUCCCGCCACCCACGGUUACCAUCACCUCCUGUGUUCAGCAUUCCCUUGCUUUCCUUUUCAUAUAGUUUCAGUGCAUCUGUGUAUUCCUUCAAAAUAUAUAUUUUCAUUCUAUUUAAAACUUUAUAAAAAGGGCAUCUUGCUGUGUAUAAUUUUUUGGGAUUUCUUUGUACUUAAUAUACUGCUAAGAUUUAUCCACUUUGCAUGUCGGUAUAGUACAUUCUGGCUGUGUGUUAACAUUCCGAUGUGUGAAUAUAGCACAGUGUAUUCAUCCACUCUCUCAUGGAUGGGCAUUUGGGCGGUUCCAGCUGUUCGUGCCUGUGAACAGUGCAGCUCAGUGUUGUGCGUGACUUCACGUGCACAUGCGCAGAAGUGCUGGAGCAACAGCUAUGCUGUUGUUCAACAUUGGAGAGGCAUUGUCAAGCUGGGGUCGAAUACCUCUUCUAUGUUUUUUGAUGAUGUGUUUCCUUUUCAGUGAAGUGCCUGUUUGUGUCUCCUGCCCAUUCUUCUCUUGGGUUAUAAUACUCUUUUGUACUUUAUGAAAAUUAUGCCCUAACUUUUCCACACUCCAUACCUCUGGGGGCAUAGGGAGGGCUGGUAGUAUUAACGUUAUUUUACAGGUAAGGAAACAGAGGCUCAGAGAAGUGAAGGGGGCUUGUUCAAAGUCAGAGUCAGAAACAGCCCUUCUGCACUGAGGCCCAAAGUCCUCAGCUAAGAAACCUUCUCUUCACCUCAAGCUGGGUCAAGGCUCCCCUGGUCCUCAGCCUCUAUUGGUCCCUGACCAUUCCAGGAGCUUUUUGUCUCCUUAGUGACACCUUCCUUGUCCCCUGGCCCUCUUUAUGUUCUUCUGAGCUCUCCUGCCUGGUUGUAAUGAUCCAGAUAUGUAUGUGUUUAUUUCAUUAUUGCCAUCCUCCAUCAGACUAGGAGCUCACUGAGGGCAGGGACCCAAUGCUCAGCAUGAUGCUUGGCAUACAGUAGGUGCUCAAUAAAUGUUGUUUGCUGGA